rnacentral:misc_RNA from 1 species
AUAAGGCACAAGGAGCCAUGUAACUGUGACUAUAACUUAGCACAAGGAGCCACGUAACUGUGACUAUAACUUAGGUAAUUGUUGGGUUUAUCAAUGUAGAAUCACAAAAUUUAGUGAAAGUUGUCUGCAAUUGAUGAAUUGGUAUGGAUUUACUUAUAAAACCAAUUAAGUAAAAGACCUCUCAACACACCUCAUUGUCCGUUCCAUGCCCAAG